AACGCGAAGAACCUUACCAAGGCUUGACAUAUAGCGAAAAGUGGCAGAGAUGUCAUGUCCGCAAGGGCGCUAUGCAGGUGGUGCAUGGUUGUCGUCAGCUCGUGUCGUGAGAUGUUGGGUUAAGUCCCGCAACGAGUGCAACCCUCGUUCUGUGUUACCAGCAUUCAGUUGGGGACUCACAGGAGACUGCCGGGGUCAACUCGGAGGAAGGUGGGGAUGACGUCAAAUCAUCAUGCCCCUUAUGUCUUGGGCUGCACGCAUGCCACAAUGGCCGGUACAAAGUGCUGCGAGAUCGUAAGAUUGAGCGAAUCACAUAAAGCCGGUCUCAGUUCGGAUUGAGGUCUGCAACUCGACCUCAUGAAGUCGGAGUUGCUAGUAAUCGUAGAUCAGCAACGCUACGGUGAAUACGUUCCCGGGUCUUGUACACACCG
rnacentral:rRNA from 1 species